rnacentral:rRNA from 1 species
GGAUCAGCGGCGAACGGGUGAGUAACACGUGAGCAACCUGCCCCUGACUCUGGGAUAGCCUCGGGAAACCGGGAUUAAUACCGGAUAUGACACCUCCUCGCAUGGGGUGGUGUGGAAAGUUUUUCGGUCAGGGAUGGGCUCGCGGCCUAUCAGCUUGUUGGUGGGGUGAUGGCCUACCAAGGCGACGACGGGUAGCCGGCCUGAGAGGGUGACCGGCCACACUGGGACUGAGACACGGCCCAGACUCCUACGGGAGGCAGCAGUGGGGAAUAUUGCGCAAUGGGCGAAAGCCUGACGCAGCGACGCCGCGUGAGGGAUGAAGGCCUUCGGGUUGUAAACCUCUUUCAGCAGGGAAGAAGCGCAAGUGACGGUACCUGCAGAAGAAGCACCGGCUAACUACGUGCCAGCAGCCGCGGUAAUACGUAGGGUGCAAGCGUUGUCCGGAAUUAUUGGGCGUAAAGAGCUCGUAGGCGGUUUGUCGCGUCUGCUGUGAAAACGCGGGGCUCAACUCCGCGCCUGCAGUGGGUACGGGCAGACUAGAGUGCAGUAGGGGAGACUGGAAUUCCUGGUGUAGCGGUGGAAUGCGCAGAUAUCAGGAGGAACACCGGUGGCGAAGGCGGGUCUCUGGGCUGUAACUGACGCUGAGGAGCGAAAGCGUGGGUAGCGAACAGGAUUAGAUACCCUGGUAGUCCACGCCGUAAACGUUGGGCGCUAGGUGUGGGCCUCAUUCCACGAGGUCCGUGCCGCAGCUAACGCAUUAAGCGCCCCGCCUGGGGAGUACGGCCGCAAGGCUAAACUCAAGGAAUUGACGGGGCCCCGCACAAGCGGCGGAGCAUGCGGAUUA